GAUGAACGCUGGCGGCGUGCUUAACACAUGCAAGUCGAACGAUGAAGCCCAGCUUGCUGGGUGGAUUAGUGGCGAACGGGUGAGUAACACGUGAGCAACCUGCCCCUGACUCUGGGAUAAGCGCUGGAAACGGCGUCUAAUACUGGAUAUGUCCCGUCACCGCAUGGUGUGCGGGUGGAAAGAUUUUUCGGUUGGGGAUGGGCUCGGGGCCUAUCAGCUUGUUGGUGAGGUAAUGGCUAAUCAAGGCGUCGACGGGUAGCCGGCCUGAGAGGGUGACCGGCCACACUGGGACUGAGACACGGCCCAGACUCCUACGGGAGGCAGCAGUGGGGAAUAUUGCACAAUGGGCGAAAGCCUGAUGCAGCAACGCCGCGUGAGGGAUGACGGCCUUCGGGUUGUAAACCUCUUUUAGCAGGGAAGAAGCGAAAGUGACGGUACCUGCAGAAAAAGCACCGGCUAACUACGUGCCAGCAGCCGCGGUAACAC
rnacentral:rRNA from 1 species